rnacentral:lncRNA from 1 species
UCUAUUUUCUUCGGACUGUUCCGGACUGUGGCUACAAGUAGACAUCCAUGGGAAUCUGCAUUUCGUCAGUUGUCUCUGGAUUAGGGUUUUCAAUCGCCUAUCCGCAACUUUUACUGCCGAUGUACCGGGACAAAGGUCCCGUUCAUCUCCCCUCGUGGGAACUUCAUGGCGAGACGAAGCUGCAGAGGCGUCUGACGCCACAUUCCGGUUCUCAGCCGGGCGCCGACAGGGUCCAUUUUCCUCCCUGUGUCUGUCGCUGUCGAUUGCCGCUGAGGAGGAAACAGAGUUACUUCUGUCACUCACAAAAUGCGACGGAUGGGGCGAUUUCGAGUGACCUUCGCGGAUGUGAGCAGCCUCGAUUGAAGACUUGUGUCUUCUUUCGAGAGCAUGGUCUCCUGACAAACGUCUUUCCCCCUUUGUUCUUGGCAUGACGCUACUGGGUUCAUCUUCUGAACCUUCUGGUUCCUCACUGCGACCAGGGCGGUGUCGAAAACUUUCUCCAUCUCCACUCUUCUGUGCGUCUCGUCGGUUCAAAUUCGAUGCAGCACACUGCGGUCCAGUCACCGCAAGAUUUUCUCGCAUCUGAGAACUCGGCGGCUUCGAGAAAUUCCCAGGCGGCUCUCUUCUUCGACAUCGCUUGUCUGUGCAACUUUCACAGUGCUUGCAUAUGAACGCAGUCUUGUGUUUGAUUCUCUUUCUACUUGGCAGCAACCUUGUUCUUUGGAACGCAUCAUCUGGCAGAGAAGCAUGUCUUUCGUCCCCGCUCACUUUGCCGUGAUCUCGCGUUUCUUCCUCUUUCGCUUCGUCUUUCCCGUGUGUCUCUCCGUCUUGGGCUUCUGUCUGUCCACCUUUAUCAGGCGUCUCGUCUCUCCCCAAAAGUUUUUCGUGUGUGUCUCCACUCGAACGGGCCUCUUGAAGAGGUUCAACGAAGCCCGUCUCUGCACACGUUUGCUGUCUUUUCGAAUGUUUAUCCUCUGCUGCGACGCAUGCGAUAUCUGCAGAGCCCUUCGAAUCUAGCUGGCAUACAUGUUGAAAGGCUUUUUCUGCACUCUGAUUUUGAUCUCGCGAAACCGCUAGUCUCUCCCUCCUUCGAUCCGCUUCUCCUCUCAAACGUCUGGUAGCCCCUUUUGUUUUGCCUCUUUUAUUUGAAUGCGAGAACCCCGGGGGGUUUUCCUCGUCUUUCGAGUCGAUCAAAACUGCCUCAGAGGAGUCUUCUUCAGAUCUCUGAUGAUAAGGACUCCUCAAGGGGGGAAACGCGUCUACGUUCCCCGCACCCUUUCGUGAACAGGGGCGAAAAAUCCUUCCUUCUUGUGCACGUUCUAAGUGACACUCUCGCCGAUUUGCGUUCAAGGCAAGAAAAGGGAUCUGAGGAAUGCAGGGCGGCAAAUGCGAGUUUACGUUAUUUACUUGAGACAGGGACUUGUGUCCCAGAUGGCCGUUCUCCUGAGAGAUGGGCAAGUUAUAUGCCGUCGAAACAGACGAGAAUGGCAGGAUCGGCAUUCCCUUUUCUUGUGGCUUUUCUUCCUUUUGCUCACACUCCAGAUACGGCGGCGGCUGUCUUCCGUUUCCGCAUUUUUUAUCGUUGUUUUCUGCUUCACCUCUAUCGAGAGGGAGAUCUCCUGUCUUCACCCUCGCUCUAUGGAGUGAUCUGGUGCUGGGCUUCGAGGGACUGGACGCGCUCGACGCUCCGCCGUUCAAAGUCCUUUUCCCCCUCCGGGAAGACCCAACGGGAUCUUUUGCUUUACAUAAUGCAUCGACUGUUCCGGUGUCAGUACCGGGAAGGUUCCCAGCACUUUUGUUCUCGGGGGGACGUGAGCAAUGCUGCACUUUGCUGGUACAGAACCGGGUUCCGUGUUUGGAACCAAGCGUGUCCGUGGAUGAUGAACUCAGUGAGCACUGAGACGCUGCGAGCCCUCUUUCCAUGAGUAUCUUUGCUGCUUGGUACCUCUUGCGUCUCUCCGCUAGUGCCUCACUACGGUCUCGUUCAAUAGCGGCGAGCAGGCCGCGAUGUCUGGCCUCUUCUCGUCUCCGCCUGGCUAAAUUCUGUUUUUGAAGAGCGACCAGGCGCUCUCUACGGAAGCGAGUUUCCGGUCCCUCGUCUUGACCCUCAUCAAAAGCGAGGGGAACACUGACCCUAAUCGUAUUACGGAGAUUCGGAUACGUCUUGGCAACUGUUUGUGACGAGUGCGAACAGCCCGAGGCUGUUUCUGAGGAAAACGAAGGAUUCCUAGUUUGUUUCUCUUGCGACGCUGAAUCACGCGCGUCCUCUGGAGAACAAACGUUCACUAGGGGCGGGAAGAAAGGACUUGAUGGAAGCGAACAGUCCGACGGAGUAGAAGGAGGAUCCAUUUUCUUCUGCAGUUCCUGUCGUCGAUACACUGCUGUUUUCUGUGGAGUUGAAGACAACGUGGAACCGCACCAUGACGAGGACAAGCUGAGGGCAACCAUGUAGCGCUUCACUGGAGACAAUACGUUGUCCGUAUGAUCUCAGGCCGUUCUUAUGUGUCACGUCUUGCGGCUGUCAUGAUUUUGAAUUACAAAGACGUCGGAGCCAUCGACAGGGACUUGCAAUCGACAAACCGCUAUGCCGAACUCACUGCCUCGCGUACUUCGUCCUCCUCACUGGUUUUGUGUUUUCCGAUACACAUGCCUUCACAACAGCACGCUGUUUCGAGAUUACAUGAACUGGAAAGAAUGAGAGGGACUGUAUUUAAUCGGCUUCCAACAUUGAAAAGAACGCAAGUCGUUUUCAGGCGGAAUUAUCACGCUGGAAGCCCUGGAGGUAAGAAGCAAACAUCAAGCAAGUGUUCAACUGUGUACUGGGCGGCGGUCUGUAUGUACUUAUUACAUUGCUCAGAGUAUACGGCGAUAGUUUUUUGAUUGCCGCUUUCUGCAUGCUUGGUGUAGUUUCCUUCCUCGAUCUCGAGGUCAGCGCUACAGGUAUGAGCCCGUUAUUCUGGAACACAGCGUCUGUUUUCACGAGACAAGACAGACCCUGAGAGACAGCCUCGGUCAACUAGGCGAUCAUCUCCCUUUGAUGAGGGGGCCAGGGACCCUUGUAGUUCUUUGGCUGUUUUUCUCCAGAAACGUUUCCAAAAAGAGUCGAGGUUUCUCGUUGGACUUCAGCCCAAGAGUCUGUUUGGCUUUGGUAUUCUAGAAUCAUACGAGGCUUGUGGUCUAAAACGUCAGGAAACGACGUUGACGUGAAAGUUGUCAAUCCGUUCGCGCAUGCAUCGAAGCCACGCACCGGAAUCCCUCCAAGCAUUGUCACGAUUCUGUUUGCCGGGCAAAACGGGUGUGCGAAUUUUUUUCGUAUUCCUUUUCC